rnacentral:lncRNA from 1 species
AGCCAGGCAGGUAGGGAUCUGUGACUGUUACCACUCCUUCUUCUUCUCAUCCAUGGAGACACCCCCAGGGCCCAGGGCCACCACCAGGAGCAAGCCCCCAAUCACCGACAUGGUCUGGAAGAAGUCGUAUUUCAGGAAGUCAUGCAUGGGCUUGUAGACUGGAAUGGUCCAGAAGGCGUUGAAAUAUACGUUGAUGGCAAAGAGCCACACAACAAGAGUCAAAGCAGCCAGCUUGGUUUUAAAACCAAUGGCCACUAAAAUCAUCAGAGCUGUGCCCACGAUGUUCUGGACAAUCUGCAUAGGUUGAAACGUAAGAAAUUCAAAAUAAAUGUGAGGAAAAGAGAUGCUUUAUAAACAAAAGUUCCAGCUGCUGCACGUCAUGAAGUCUCUAUCCAUCAGGCUGAUGUAGCUACUGCUGAGACGGCUGCUGGUGCAAGUAGGGAGAUAAAAGCCAAAGGGAGGCAGGAGGCAAUAAAGCACCAGCUUUGAAAUGUGGAAG